UGACUAGGAGUCAGCAAGAGGUCAGGAAGAGUGCAUAAUGAGAACACGUGGAAUAAAGAUCCUGAGCUCACAUGCCAGUGUCUUCGGGUACUCUGCUGAACGUGAGAACCACCACUCAAAGAGGUGGUGGCCAGAGAUCUCUGAAGACCUCUGAUGGAGACUGACCACCAGUUUGACAGAAAAAGAGAGGGCCAGCGGGUAUAGCUAUGGAAAGAAGUUAUAAGACCCUCUUUGCUGGCAGCAAGGUUGGAAGCAUGAAGCCAUAAACAGAAAGUAAGGAGACAAGGAGUCACUCUCACCUCUGACAGCAGAUUAUCCCAGUCCUCCCUCAUGUUGGUAAAACAAGAGAAUAAA